CCGUAACUAUAACGGUCCUAAGGUAGCGAAAUUCCUUGUCGGGUAAGUUCCGACCCGCACGAAAGGCGUAAUGAUUUGAGCGCUGUCUCGACAAUGCAUCCGGUGAAAUUGAAGUACCAGUGAAGAUGCUGGUUACCUGCGCCAGGACGGAAAGACCCCAUGGAGCUUUACUCCAGUUUGGUACUGGGAUCCGGUGCUGCAUGUACAGGAUAGGUGGGAGGCUAAGAAGGUGUGACGCCAGUCAUACCGGAGCCGCUGUUGGGAUACCACCCUUGCAGUAUUGGGUUUCUAACCAGCCGCCGUGACCCGGCGGUGGGACAAUGCCAGACGGGGAGUUUGACUGGGGCGGUCGCCUCCGAAAGGGUAUCGGAGGCGCCCAAAGGUUCCCUCAGAAUGGACGGAAACCAUUCGAAGAGUGCAAAGGCAGAAGGGAGCUUGACUGCGACACCGACGGGUGGAGCAGGUACGAAAGUAGGGCUUAGUGAUCCGGUGGUAUUAAGUGGGAAUGCCAUCGCUCAACGGAUAAAAGCUACCCUGGGGAUAACAGGCUUAUCACUCCCAAGAGUUCACAUCGACGGAGUGGUUUGGCACCUCGAUGUCGGCUCAUCGCAUCCUGGGGCUGUAGUAGGUCCCAAGGGUUGGGCUGUUCGCCCAUUAAAGCGGUACGCGAGCUGGGUUCAGAACGUCGUGAGACAGUUCGGUCCCUAUCCGGCGUGGGCGUAGGAUAUCUGAGAGGAGCUGUCCUUAGUACGAGAGGACCGGGAUGGACGGGCCGCUGGUGCACCGGUUAGACUGCCAAGUCUACAGCCGGGUAGCCAAGCCCGGAAGGGAUAAACGCUGAAGGCAUCUAAGCGUGAAGCCCCCCUUAAGAUGAGAUAUCCCAUUCGUUAAGAAGUAAACCCCCUUGAAGACGACGAGGUAGAUAGGGCAGAGGUGGAAGUGCAGCAAUGCAUGGAGCUGACUGUUACUAAUCGGGUGAGGGCUUGACCAA
rnacentral:rRNA from 1 species